AAUCCUCAAAUGGAACAGAAGAGUCUCGAUGUUCCAAACGCCUCCUUAAACAUGACAUGGCUAAUUGGAUAGGCAAUUGCAUGUCAGAUAGAUAAGCCACUGACUGACGAAUUUCAAACAAAAAUAGACAGGAAAAAUGGCGUCACUCUCUAUUCCUCUGUCGCCGAAGGUGUUCUCCGGUCUACAACUUCCGGCCAAAUGUGUUCGUCCCACUCCUCGGGAACUCCAAUCUCCCUUCAAAAUCAGGUGUUCCUCGAUAGAGGAUGGUUUCAAAUCUGUUGAAAGUUUUACUCAAUUUGAGGAGCUCAGGAGUGUCGCUUGUGGCGUUCUUGCUGUUUGGGCUUUGACUGCUGCCUCGCCUGUAAUUGCGGCUAAUCAGAGGCUGCCGCCUUUGUCGACAGAGCCAAAUAGGUGUGAACGUGCAUUUGUGGGCAAUACAAUAGGUCAAGCAAAUGGAGUCUAUGACAAACCACUUGAUCUUCGUUUUUGUGAUUACACCAAUGAGAAAUCCAACCUUAAGGGGAAGUCUCUCGCUGCAGCACUCAUGUCGGAUGCAAAGUUUGAUGGUGCAGAUAUGACUGAGGUGGUGAUGUCAAAGGCAUAUGCUGUUGGAGCCAGUUUUAAGGAAAUUUUGCAAGAGAGGGACAAAUGACAGUCUUCUUCAUGAAGUUUAGAGCCAAUCAACUCAAAAUUGAAUGCAGUACUUCUUAUAUGACAGGAACAUGAAUUGUGCACAGACUUCUCGAAUGCAGUUUUGGAUCGAGUGAAUUUUGCGAAGGCAAACCUCCAAGGAGCCAUGUUUAAAAACACGGUGCUAUCUGGAUCUACAUUCGAGGAAGCUCAACUUCAAGAUGCAGGCUUUGAGGACACCAUCAUAGGUUACAUUGAUCUUCAGAAGCUUUGUACUAAUAAGACUAUCAACGACGAAGGAAGAGUUAACUUGGGAUGCCGAUAACGUUGUGGCAAUUGCUUGGUAUUUCUUUCUUUUCAUUAUUUAGUAUACUGUAAUAUAUAGAGUGAGUUGUACUUUUCCAUUUUGACUAAACUUCCGAAACUUAUUCUGAUUUCUACGGCCAUAAAUGCAUUGUAUUCACUUUUUACAUAGCAUGAUACCCCCAUGGAAUUCUUAUAAUUAUAAUUUCUCGUAA